UACGUAGGGGUCUAGCGUUGUCCGGAAUCAUUGGGCGUAAAGCGCUCGUAGGCGGUUCGGCAAGUCGGAUGUGAAAUCUCCACGCUCAACGUGGAGGGGCCAUUCGAAACUGCCGUGACUCGAGUCCGGUAGGGGAGUGCGGAAUUCCCGGUGUAGCGGUGAAAUGCGCAGAUAUCGGGAGGAACACCAGUGGCGAAGGCGGCACUCUGGGCCGGAACUGACGCUGAGGAGCGAAAGCGUGGGGAGCGAACAGG
rnacentral:rRNA from 1 species